AUGCAGCUGACGAGUCCCAAAUAGGACGAAACACGCGUCCUGGAU
rnacentral:hammerhead_ribozyme from 1 species